AGCUGUGGCAUGCGCAGAGUGAUCAGUGUGGGUCGGGAGCAGCGGAGAUCAUCGACUGCAUAGAUCCAAUCAGGCCUAUUACCGGGUUCAACAAGAAGCGGCAGCUGGGUUCGCAGUUGGCGACGAGCUUGCCGGUGGCGCUGUCGUAGGUCUCCAUGGUCUCCACCAGGAAGUCUGGCUCGGGGUUUUCGAUGAGCGGGUCAACGCAGCAGGUCGGCUGCCAGAACCACCCUGGCUGGCAGCGAGUCCCCGGCCACUGCAGGAGUCACGAUCCGUUAGACUUCAUUAACAGUUUACCGUACAAGAAAGGCUUUCUGUAAAGCCGAGAGAGAGAGAGAGAGAGAGGAAUAGGUACUAUGAGAGACAGGAUCAUGUAGUCGUAUGAAGCAGCUGCUAGCGCACAAGAGGCGGCGCACAAGAGGAAGCAGAACGUGGGAAGAGCCUUUGAGCCAGCCAUUCUGCAGAGGUGGAGAGGAUGAUCGGGGGAGAGACGCUUCGUGAGGUGAUGAGUCUGAUGGCUCUAUAUAAGCACUACAUUGAAGACACACCCACCUACUGAUAAUUGUUGGACUAAUAAUGCACCGCGAUUGCUGUUAGGGGGGUCUUAAAAUAAUGCACUUCGCAUAAAAUGUCGUACACCAACAUGAAACAUGAGGGACAUUCCCGCAUAUCGCAAGCAUAGUGGGUUGCAAAAUGCAAGGAAAGAAAGUAAGGAAUUUAUUUGAUUAUGGUCUCUCAUAGCUAUAAGAUUAUGGUCUCUCGUAGCUAUAUGGACUAUGUGACAUCGUCAAACCACGAUGUCACCUCCACCCUCCACCCCACCAGCCACUGGACCCUUUCCAUACAUUACAAUCAUUAAUCUUGAUGGAGGUGAACGAGAGAUAAUCAUAAGUAUUUUUCCUCUCUUCUCUUUUGUAUGACUCAUCGUAUUAGAUAUUAUCGUACGCUUCACGCACAUAUUGUUUUACUCACCUGAUCGAGCAACGAUAAUAGUGUGAUAGAAGCGAGCAAGGGAUACUCCUUCGACUAAGGGGCUUGAAAUCUAAGAGAUAGAAAAGGGAUUGAGGAUAAAGACACGAGCAAGAGAUAAUAUAAUUUUAUGACGAAUAAGAGUUAAAGAGUAAGAUGAGAAUGACUAUAUGAUGCGAAUAAAACAAAAAAGUGACAUUAGUAGAAUAAAAAGUAAAAAANNNNNNNNNNNNNNNNNNNNNNNNNNNNNNNNNNNNNNNNNNNNNNNNNNNNNNNNNNNNNNNNNNNNNNNNNNNNNNNNNNNNNNNNNNNNNNNNNNNNCGUGUUAUUAUCUAUCGGCAAACAAUUGACUUGAUAAUUGAUAAGGCAUAUAUUUAGGAUCUCGGCCACGUCGCGAUCCACGCCACGUCACACUCCUGCAGAUUCAACACAAGGGUUGCCUUCCUUCCACGUCGAGUUGGAGCUCGUAUAGGGAGGCACCCUCUCAACAAGUCCCUUCCCAGAAAGCUUGGGACGUUGUCCCAUGGCGUCGUUCCGCGCAUACCGGGUGACGAUUACACGAAGGUACGAUCUUGGGGGUAUCGAUCGUCAAGUCAAAUCCGCGUAUAAUCGAUCCUCGGACAAUAGUAUAAAAUCCCUUGACCGGCAUCUGGCUAGGAGACAAAGAACAGAAGAAAAAAAUCACUGACUUAGUCUACGAUGGGCCAAAGUCGGGAAUCUCCAGACCAGGGCGUGUGUGCAGGAACGUGGCCACCCCCGAACUAGCUCAAUCCCUCAUUGGAGAUGCGACCAUCCUGGCCGUUGAUCCAGACGCGACCAUCCCGACCCCUGAUCCAACUCGGCCUCGAUGCUUCUUCCAAUCGAUCGAGAGGCGCACUCCCGAACGUCGAAAACUCUGGACAUCGACAUGUGAACCAAAACGUGCCGACUCCUCGACCACGGCACGUAAGUUCACCAACAAAAAUAACGACGCAUUGUUGAAACAUUGAUUAUAAUCAAAGAAGAACGUUCUCAAAAUUAUUUUAAAAAAUAUUUUAUUUCUACCUAAUUAGUCAAUUAUUUAAAAUUUUUUUGAUGAUCAAUUCAUUUUCACUAACUCAGUAAAAUAUAAUAUUUGAAGAAAAUUAUACUGAAGAUAGAAUGUAAUAAAUGUAAUUAUAUAUAUAUAAUUAAUAUUUUUAAAAUAUAUUAAAUCGGAUAAUUUUACGGAAUAAGGUUUUGAGUCGUUCGAUGUAUGACUCUGUUAUAUCAAUAUAAGAUGAUAUUUUAGAUAUUAAAAAUAUAUACGAGACAACAUUUUGGUGCAGUUAUAUAUGUUUAAGAAAGACCACUUUUAUUACUGCAGGUGUGAAGAAGAUGCGACUCUACAACUCGGGAGUAAAAGACGAAGCGACAGCUCACAUCACCAUAAGUGCAAGCAUGUGGAUCACGCCAAGCAGAAGAAGACAGGCUUAAAGCAGUUCCUCCAUCACAGUGCCAUCUCGUCGCCGGAGGGCAACUCGAUCACUGUCUUGGAAACGGCGUCGUCUUCACGGCCUUGCAGUGGGUACGACACAGGGGGGAACUUGACCGUGUCGCCGCAGUUACUCUCCCUGCCGUUGGGGCAGCCGAUGAUCGACCUCCCGUCGCUGGAGACGCAGACGCGGAUCUGGUAGAGGUAGUCUUCGUAGAAGAAAGGCCAGAGAAUGUAAUUCCUGGUGCACACCACCGUGAACGAGAACCCGAUCCUGGGCACCAACGCGUCGUUGAUGUCGUCCAGGCUGUAGCUCUUCGUCGCGUGCGGUAUGAUCCCACUCGAGCCCAGGUUGACGAGGGGGUCCACCUUCUUCCUGAGUUGAAGCGCCCGGUCGAAGUAGAGCGACUGGUUGAGGCUGGAGCAAGUGCCGUAGGUGCACCACACGUCCUUCCAGUGGGGCAUCCCGCUGUUGCUGGGACAGGUCAGGUUGGCGUAGUACGUGUACAAGUUGUCGAGCAUGUUCACCAGCUGUCCAAACAAGACAAAGCGGUCAUCAUCGACAUCUCGGCCGAGUUAGCUCGGGUGGAGGAGGCUAACGAGACUCACCGGAAGUAUCUUGAAGACGCAGCUUCUGCUGCAGCCGGUGACCGGUUUACCGGUGGCGCUGUCGUAGGUUUCCAGGGCUUGGACGAGGAAGUCCGCCGCCGGCUCGCCAUUCGUCGGCAUACAGCACUUCCCUGUCGGUUGCGAGCUAGCACAGUAGCUUCCUGGCCACUGCAGUGAGAAGGACAUCAUACCAUCACCCAUCUUGCCAUCGAUGGUUACCACUACUGCAGGAAACCAGAACCAAGUAGAGGGUAACUAUACCAUAAGUUUCAAGAUCAGGUAGUCGGGCUUCGAAGCUGCCCUUGCCGCCGGAGAGGAAGACAAGCAUAACAGCAAGACAAGCAAGCAGAUCCCAGGAAGAGCCUUGAGGAUAGCCAUUCUGCAGGAGCUGUCGAGUUGCCUUGGUGAUGGUGGAUAAUAUAAGCCCAUCGUGGAACACACUGGUUGUGGCCUGGUGGUGGCGGGAUCCAUGGCAGCUCUAUCAAGAAAUGGCUGUCCUCGUCUCAGCCAUCAGCCUCUCCCCACGAGUUUCACGUGGCUUGCAGAUCUCAUCGCUUUCGAGAAAUGGUCGCCGUGCUGUUCACCACCAAUUUAAUGAUGACAUUAAAAUAAUGGCACAGUACAAGAUCAGAUGAUGUUCCAUGUGACUGACUUCUUUUAUUUGGACUCUCUCUCUCUCUCAUGAUUCGGGAACGGACAAGGAGAUGGAAGCAUUGAUUACAGUCGAGCCACCCAAACAACACCCCACUCCUCGCCAUCAAAUGUUCUUAUCUUCACAGACCGAACAUCAUUGAAGGGACUAAUAAGAAGAAGAUGGAUAGCAACCUGAUCGAAACAAGAACAAUGUUGAGAUGGGGAGGGGUUACGAACCGGUUCUGAGAAAGAUUUCUAGAUGUGAUUUCCUCUAAAGAAAUCAUGCAUUAAUUUGUUCUUGACCAAGUACAACAUGACUCGGAGAUUGGUAGACAAGAAAAAUGUAUUCAGAUCGUUCAUAAUUUCAUUUAAGAAAACCGAUCUAGAAGGAUUUUUUUUUGCGACAAUUAGGGAUUGAAAAUAGUCACGAUUAAGCCACUAAGUAGGGGUGAUGGUAAUUUCAGAACGGUCAAUUUUGAUUUCCGAAAUCAGCAACCGAGAAAAUAAAGAGUUAAAAAUAAUUAUAAUGAAUAUCAAAGUCUUUCCUCCAAUUACUAUAUGUUAGGAUAAAAAAUAUCGUUGAUGCGUGUAUUAGCAUGAUGUGAUCCUGAUCCGCAUACGAGGAGUCGAUAGAACAAGAUUUCUUCGAUCUCGUUCAUAUACAAAGACUAAGAUUGAAAGGGAUUUUCCGAGUUGAUUUAUCUAAUGCUUAACUUAGCACUUAGUUGCAUACAAAGACUUAUUUUUUUUUUAAUGAAGAUCCUAUAGAGAAAAAGUUCGAACUCAACUAUCUUUUUUAUUUUUAUGAUAUAUUUUUGUGAAUAUUUUUAUAGGAAAACUAGUUUAUAAUCAACUCAAACUACCUUUUAAUAUUCCUGAAAUAUUCCUACAAAUAUUUUGUAAGAAAGUCUGAAUUGUCUUAUGGGAAUAAUUCACGAUUAGCUAGUUUUUAAUUGAUCUGAAUUAUCUUCAAUUUUUUAUGAAUAUUUAAAUAUUUCAUCGAGGAGGUAGCUUAACAAAUCGGUAAUUGACCCGAGCUAUCUUUUGAGUUCGAAUAGAAAAUAUUGGCUUAAUAUGACAUUGACGUUACGAACGAUGACUAACCAAUUUAAUAUUUUCUUUCGCUAUGUGUAGUCAAACACUAUGUGAGUUGUGUUCAAACCACAAACUCUACGUAGCUAAAGAAAAAAAAAAAGGUAAGAUUAUUUUGUAUGAUCUAUAUUGAUCAAACGAUAAACAAGAAAAAAAUAGAAAAAGGUAAGAUAAGAUUAUUUUUUAUGGUCUCAUCGAAUAAAGUUUAUGUCGUCGAAACAAUUUCUAUGGUUACAAGAAUAGUGGAAGUCUCGUCAAGAGGAAACAAAAGAAUAUGGAAUAUGUGGAUCUCCUUUUUCCACGAAGGAGAGAUGGCAGAAGAAUUUUGUGUUCGAAUCCCAUCAUUUAUUUUGUAUCAAAAAAAGACACUAAUUCAACGAAAAGCUGAACACAAAUGAUGGAGAGAUGGAGUUUAGAUAUCAAACGUAUGGGAAUUUUACCUUCAUUAAGUAAAAUCCCAACUUGUUCAUGACAGGUAAUAUGCUCUGUUGUUAUUUGAUUAAUCUUAGAGACAGAGAUCAUAAAACAACAUCUUAUUCCAGUAGAUCGCAAGACGAUGAUGACAUCCUACACACAGGCAAUUCAUCAUGUUUGAGUGCCAAGAUGAUGAUGAUGACAUCCGCAUGACAAGAGGGCAGUAAUCCGUGGAUCGAUCACUGAGUCAUCGCCUUGUCCGAUGGCAACUUGAUGUGGUCGACCGCCGGAUGGCGCGGGCGCCCGAGCAUGUCGUCCGUGAACGGGUAGAACUUGACCUUGCUGCCGCAGUUGCUCUUCCUGGCGAAGGGACAACCGAUGAGAGACUUGCCGUCGGCGGAGACGCAGAUGCGGACUCUGGAGAGCAGGUAUUCCCGACUCAGCACGCCCAUCUCCGUGGUGCACUCCACCACCGCCGAGAACCCGAUCUUGGGCACCAGCGCGUCCUCGAUGUCCUCCAAACUGUAGCUCUUCGUCUCCGACGGGAUGAUGGCUUGAGAUCAGGAACAGAUCCAUGCGUUAGCUGCAGACACUUGUAAGCUCGAGGUCGGCGUGCAGGGCAGGGCUGCUUACCUUUGGAGCCGAGAGCACGGAGGAUGUCCACUCGAGCCCGGAGCUGAAGCGCCCGGCCGAAGUAAUUCACCUCGCUGAGGCUGGUACAGUUGCCGUAGGUACACCAGGCGGCCUUCCACACCUGCUUCCCGUUCUGGGCUGGGCAGCUCAAGCUGGGCCAGUAGGCGUUCAAGUCGUCCAACAGAUCGACAAGCUGUGGCAUGCGCAGAGUGAUCAGUGUGGGUCGGGAGCAGCGGAGAUCAUCGACUGCAUAGAUCCAAUCUGGCCUAUUACCGGGUUUAUCAAGAAGCGGCAGUUGGGUUCGCACUUGGCGACGAGCUUGCCGGUGGCGCUGUCGUAGGUCUCCAUGGUCUCCACCAGGAAGUCUGGCUCGGGGUUGCCGAUGAGCGGGUCAACGCAGCAGGUCGGCUUCCCGUUCCACCCUGGCUGGCAGCGAGUCCCCGGCCACUGCAGGAGUCACGAUCCAUUAGACUUCAUUAGCAAUUCACAGUAGGACUCAUCGAUUGCACAAGAAGGGCUUUCUGUAAAGCCGAAACAAAAGAGAGAGAGGAAUAGGUACUCUGAGAGACAGGAUCAUGUAGUCGUAUGAAGCAGCUGCUAGCGCACAAGAGGCGGCGCACAAGAGGAAGCAGAACGUGGGAAGAGCCUUUGAGCCGGCCAUUCCGCAGAGGUGGGAAGGAUGAUCGGGGGAGAUGAUGAGUCUGAUGGCUCUAAAUAAGCACGAAGACACACCCACCCACCCACCGAUAAUUGUUGGGCUACAUCGAUAUUGUUCUCGUGAGUAUAAUAUAAUAUAAUAUAAUGCACCUCGAUUGCGGCAUGGGGGUCGUAAAAUAAUGCACUUCGCUUUAAAUUUCGUACACCAACGUGAAACACGUGGGACGUUCCCGCAUCCCGCAAUCGUAGUGGGUUGGAAAGUGCGAGGAAAAAAAGAAGGAUUUUAUUUGAUUAUGGUCUCUCAUAGCAUAUUAUACUCUUCAUCUAAAUUAGGGAUUAAAAGGCUUCGAGACCAAGCAAGUGAAUAAUAAUAAAAUAAUAUAUUAAAAAAUCGAUCAAGAAAAAAUCCGUAAAAUAUUUUAUUCAUCUUUGAACAUGCUUUCGACCAUGCAUUAUUGAAACAUAUUCGUCCAUUUGAAAUAUCAUAUCUUUAAUCGCAUAUUACAUAUCAUAUGAAUUGGAUAUGUGUACUACCAUUAUUUUCCUUAAAUAAUAAUUUAAAUUUAUUAAAUUAAAAUUUAUGCCUGUGGACAUUAUUGUGUGAUCGGAACUGAGAACGAAGACUCGAACAAUGCAAAGGUCCGUAAGGUCUCGCCGAAUCAUCUUCCUUUGUCUUCCCUUUUACGCCAUCGGCGGUACCGAUGCAUUCGAUCCGGAGCUGGGCCUUCUCCGCCCUGAUCCUGGCUGUCACCGUCCUCUUCUUCUUCUUCUUCGACUGGCCGUCUCCUCCUCUUCAAGAAAUAGCCGGAGAUAUUCCUGGAUCCUUGAAUGACAUCGCUGUGACGGUAGGCCAUGGCUUCGAUUUCUUUCUCUCCCCUUCCUCUUCCCUUACCUUCUUUUCCCUUAGGAUAGGACAUAUUUUGGCCUUAUAUGAACCACCGAUAGACGUUGCAGAUCGACACAACACCGUACGCCUCCAAAACCGUGGGGUGCAUGCCACGUCAAGAGCCAACGAUGCAAUUGUGCGGCUUGACCACCUCAAAAGCUGGGGGCGGUGCCGUCUGCUGCUAGGGCAGUGUCGUCUGACGCCCCUCGAGCACCCUCGAAGAUGUCAUCUUGUCAGAGAGGUUGUUCCGCCCCUAGAGUUAACGACCAUAUCGGACCAGGGCCCGACCAAUUACCGCACGCAGGUAUAAAUACCCCCGACCUGAUCCAAAAAAAAGGGAGAAAAGGAUGAGAGAUUUAGAAUGAAUCUAACUUGCUCGUCGGAGGGGCCAAAGUUGGGACUUACCCUACGAGGGUCUUUUUGCAGAGAGGUAGUCGUCGCUGAGACGCGAAUGUCGUCUUCACACGGACGGUGCCCGGUACGCAGAGGAGGGUGGCCCAACGAGUCGGACUCGACAAGUGUCAGCCCGCAUCUCCCAUCUCCAAGAGGCUUCCACACCACAAGGAGGAUCCCCAACCAUCCGAGGGGAUGAGAGGACGCAUCUUCUCAUGAACAAUGCUCAUAUCGGCCAACUUUGGAAAGCCGGCUCACAGCGAGGCUCAGGCCGACCUUGCCACCUCAACCGGCGCUCAACGCGUUUAAGGGGCGCAACCACUCAAACGAUAGUAAUUCCGCCAGAAGUUCCCGACGUCGGCAGGUGGGCCUAGUCAUGCUGACAUAUUAGUCACGACAUGUUUGUUCACUAACAUUUUGGCCCUAGAAGAAGGGCCCAUGUCGCGGGAAUAGCUGGCAAGAACGUGCCCUGGGAGGGAACCCCCGACCGACCUCCCUUUCGCUGAGCCAGAAGGACAACCCCUCUCUACCCCUAUGGACGGAGGGAUACCGAUUUCAACGCUUGAUCGUUACUGGCGCUUGUUCAACGACCCGGGACUAUCCCCCCCGGGGCUCACCCCGGGGGGCCCGGCUGUGAUGCCCGAGGCAUUCCUUAGCCUAACCAAGCAAGUAUAGACCAUGACAGGCAUGAUGCACUCACUCGCCCCGAUCACUCCCCAAAUCGGGCAGCCCUCGAUGCCCUCGACCGAUCCGACCCGGCAACCCCCGAACGGGGAACAGCUCGGGGUUGGGCCAGCCUCGUGGCGAGCAACGGACCCGAGGGGUCCUCCCGUGCAAAAUGCGCCCACAGCUUGCUGAGCCACCCCAUCUCAUCUAGAGCCCGAUACUAUAUCAUCUGACUCGGCGAACGACUCACUCAGAGCUCAGUUGUCCCGGGUCAAUCAGCACCUGGACGAGUUCCAGCGUGAGCUUUGGAGAUUGCGUAGUGAGCCUAGCGAGGGCGCUUUGGUUGGGUCCCUCUUUACCCAAGAAGUACAAGAUAAGCCGGUCCCCCUCAACUUCAGGUUCCCGACAUUAGAAACGUACGAUGGAGGCUCGAUCCCAUGGAGCAUGUCUUUGUAUUCCGGGCCUAGAUGGCCCUCUAUGGUGCCUCCGAUGUGCUGAUGUGCCGAGUGUUUCCGACCACUCUGCGUGGCCCGGCGUGGACAUGGUUCAGCCGGCUGUGUCAAGCUUCAGUCUCGUCCUUCGACCAGGUGGUCGAGGAAUUUGAGCAAAGCUUCCUCACCGGCGCACGGCCCAGGCCCUCCAUGGCCACUUUGCUUGCACUAUCUCAGCACGAGGACGAGUCGCUCUCUCAGUUCGUGGCACGGUUCACACUAAGAUCCGAGGUUUUUCAGAUACUCACCCUUCUCUAAUCUUGCAAGCCUUUAUGAUGGGUCUUAAACCUUUAAGGUUCUUAUGGUCGUUGAUCGAGAAGCCGCCAGCGACCAUCUCUGAGAUGCUUCUACGUGCCAACCAGUACAUUGCCGUCGAGGCUUUAGUGGCGGGGAGGCACGUGGAAGGCAAGAAGCUCAGGAUGGAGCUGUCUCGAGGAACGGCCUCGGCGUUCCCGACGCCUCCCCGCCGGGGGCUCAACCGACAAGAGCUGCUACUCCCAAGACCCCCACCUCUCCCCCUAAACACAUCCCGUUCCGAGAUCUUCCUCUAGAUCAAAGAGACGAGCCUCUUGCAGCAGCCUUGCCCUAUGAAGGCCGCCCACAGAGACCAAUCUAAAUACCGUGGGGAUCCGUCGGCACACCCCGGAGGUGGGGGAGAAGUGAUAGGGCAUAUUUUGGCUCUAGAUGAAUCACCAACAAAUGUCACAAACCAAUAGCCACGAACGCAAUGCCAUGCGCCACCAGAACCACGGGGUGCAUGCCACGUCAAGUUCGGUACUAUGUGAUUGUGCGACUUGACCACCCCAAGAGCUCGGGGCGGUGUCGUCUACUUUUGGGACAGUGCCGUCUGACGCCACUCAAGCACCCCCAAGGAUGCCAUCUCGUCAAAGAAGUUAUCCCACCCCCAUGAAAGUUAGCGGCCACGCCGAACUGAGGCACAACCAACUCUCGCACGCAAGUAUAAAUACCCCCGUCCGAUCCCGAUGAGAGAAGAAAAAAAGGAGGAAGAAAAAACAGGGGAAUCCGAACUAAUCUAACUUGCUUGUCGGUGGGGCCAAAGUCGAGAGACACUCGACGAAGACCGUUUUGCAGGGAGGUGAUCGCCACUGAGCUGCGAGCGUCUCCACCCUGAAGUUGUCACCUAAUGCGCAGAGGAGGGUGGUCCAGUGGUUCGGAUCCCAACCAGCGCCGGCCUGCAUCUCCCAUCUCAAGGGUGUGCCCACGUCGCGGGGAAAGAUUGCCAACUAUCCCGGGGAUGAGAGGACACAUCUCGCCAGAAGCGACGCUCAGGUCGGCUAGCUUUGGAGUGCUAACCCCCAGCCGCUCGCGAGGACCCGACCGACCCUACCGCCUCAACCCUCGCUCGUAACGCUCGAGAGGCGCAACCAUCUCAUCAUCCUACUCAUUCCACUAGAAGUUUCCGACGUCGGUCCGUGGACCAAACUGUGAUGUCUCAUCAGCCAUGGUACUUUUGUUCACUAACAGACAUCAAACAUAUGGGAAUUUUACCUUCAUUAAUUAAAAUCCCAACUUGUUCAUGACCGGUAAUAUGCUAUGUGAUUAUUUGAUUAAUCUUAGAGACAGAGAUCAUAAAACAUCAUCUUAUUCCAGCAUAUGGCAAGACGAUGAUGACAUCCUACACACAGGCAAAUCAUCGUGUUUUAGUGCCAAGAUGAUGAUGAUGAUAUCCGCAUGACAUCGUACACAUAUCGCCUUGUCCGAUGGCAACUUGAUAUGGCCGGCCGCCGGAUGGCGCGGGCGCCCGAGCAUGUCGUCCGUGAACGGGUAGAACUUGACCUUGCUGCCGCAGUUGCUCUUCCUGGCGAAGGGACAACCGAUGAUAGACUUGCCGUCGGCGGAGACGCAGAUGCGGACUCUGGAGAGCAGGUAUUCCCGACUCAGCACGCCCAUCUCCGUGGUGCACUCCACCACCGCCGAGAACCCGAUCUUGGGCACCAGCGCGUCCUCGAUGUCCUCCAAACUGUAGCUCUUCGUCUCCGACGGGAUGAUGGCUUGAGAUCAGGAACCGAUCCAUGCGUUAGCUGCAGACACUUGUAAGCUCGAGGUCGGCAUGCAGGGCAGGGCUGCUUACCUUUGGAGCCGAGGGCAUGGAGGACGUCGGCUCGAGCCCGGAGCUGAAGCGCCCGGCCGAAGUAAUUCACCUCGCUGAGGCUGGUACAGUUGCCGAAGGUACACCAGGCGGCCUUCCACACCUGCUUCCCGUUCUGGGCUGGGCAGCUCAAGCUGGGCCAGUAGGCGUACAAGUCGUCCAACAGAUCGACAAGCUGUGGCAUGAGCAGAGUGAUCAGUGUGGGUCGGGAGCAGCGGAGAUCAUCGACUGCAUACAUCUAAUCUGGCCUAUUACCGGGUUUAUCAAGAAGCGGCAGUUGGGUUCGCACUUGGCGACGAGCUUGCCGGUGGCGCUGUCGUAGGUCUCCAUGGUCUCCACCAGGAAGUCUGGCUCGGGGUUGUCGAUGAGCGGGUCAACGCAGCAGGCCGGCUUCCCGGUCCACCCUGGCUGGCAGCUAGUCCCCGGCCACUGCACGAGUCACGAUCCAUUAGACUUCAUUAGCAGUUCACCGCAGGAGUCAUCGUUUGCACAAGAAAGGCUUUCUGUAAAGCCGAAACAAAAGAGAGAGAGAGAGAGAGAGAGAGAGAGAGAGGAAUUAGGUACUAUGAGAGACAGGAUCAUGUAGUCGUAUGAAGCAGCUGCUAGCGCACAAGAGGCGGCACACAAGAGGAAGCAGAACGUGGGAAGAGCCUUUGAGCCAGCCAUUCUGCAGAGGUGGGGAGGAUGAUCGGGGGAGA
rnacentral:lncRNA from 1 species